GGUUAGCGGGCAGGUUAAUGAAAAAGUACACUGUAUUUGUUAUUUACACUGUAUUUGACCUCGUGUCCCCCUCCAGGGUUUCAAAGUGGGCUACGUCGUCUUCCAAAACUCCUCCAGUUUAAAGAAGCUAAAUCGCACCCGCAUGAUGACCUUUGGUGGUCUGCACAGAGCAGCGUCCAGUGAGGACAGGAGUGCAGAAAUGGAUCCAGCAGUACCAAGAGUCUUUUACCAGCCGGACAAACUGCAACAAAUGGUCGACUCCUUCAUGGAAGAAUACGACAAGAGGAAAGAAGAGGUAGCCGAGAGGCAGAGGAAGGAGGCUGAGCAGCAAAGAGGAAGACGAGGGCUGGGUUAAAGUACAAGAGGACCAAAGGGCACCAAGGCCCG